rnacentral:tRNA from 1 species
GGGGCUGUGGCUCAAUGGUAGAGCACUUGCCUAGCAUGUGUGAGGCACUGGGUUCGAUUCUCAGCACCA